GAUGAACGCUAGCGGCAGGCCUAAUACAUGCAAGUCGAGGGAGAAUGUUGGAUUCGUCUGACAUGAAACCGGCGCACGGGUGCGUAACACGUAUGCAACCUACCUUUAACUGGGGUAUAGCUCAGAGAAAUCUGAAUUAAUCCCCCAUAAGACUACGACAUGGCAUCAUGAUGUGGUUAAAGCUCCGGCGGUUAAGGAUGGGCAUGCGGUACAUUAGCUAGUUGGUGAGGUAAUGGCUCCCCAAGGCUACGAUGUAUAGGGGGUCUGAGAGGAUGAUCCCUCACACUGGUACUGAGACACGGACCAGACUCCUACGGGAGGCAGCAGUAGGGAAUAUUGGUCAAUGGACGCAAGUCUGAACCAGCCAUGCCGCGUGAAGGAUGAAGGCCCUAUGGGUCGUAAACUUCUUUUAUUAGGGAAGAAAAAACGGGAUGCGUCCUGUACUGACGGUACUUAAUGAAUAAGGAUCGGCUAACUUCGUGCCAGCAGCCGCCGCGG
rnacentral:rRNA from 1 species